AUGUAUAUAGAUCGACUAACA
ensembl:piRNA 21ur-15663 ncRNA